rnacentral:tRNA from 7 species
GCGGGUAUAGAGAAAGGGUGUCUCACAUGUCUCAUUAGCAUGUUAUCGGUAGGUUCGACUCCUACACCCGCCUCCA